CCUACGGGAGGCAGCAGUGAGGAAUAUUGGUCAAUGGCCGAGAGGCUGAACCAGCCAAGUCGCGUGAGGGAAGAAUGUUCUAUGGUUUGUAAACCCCUUUUGUCAGGGAGCAAAGUCACCUACGUGUGGGUGUUGGAGAGUACCUGAAGAAACAGCAUCGCCUAACUCGGUGCCAGCAGCCGCGGUAAUACGGAGGAUGCGAGCGUUAUCCGGAGUUAUUGGGUUUAACGGGUGCGUAGGGGGGUUAUAAAGUUAGCGGUAAAAUCGUGGUGCUAAACUCCAUCCAGCCGUUGAAACUGAUGAUCUUGAGUAGGCGAGAGGUAGGUGGAAUGCGUGGUGUAGCGGUAAAAUGCAUAGAUAUCACGAAGAACACCGAUUGCGAAGGCGGCAUACCGGCGCCCGACUGACGCUGAAGCACGAAAGCGUGGGUAGCGAACAGGAUUAGAUACCCGUGUAGUC
rnacentral:rRNA from 1 species